rnacentral:rRNA from 1 species
UACGUAGGUGACCAGCGUUGUCCGGAUUUACUGGGCGUAAAGAGCGCGCAGGCGGUCGGUCAAGUCGAGUGUGAAAGCCCCCGGCUCAACUGGGGAGGGUCACUCGAUACUGAUCGACUUGAAGGCAGGAGAGGGAAGCGGAAUUCCCGGUGUAGUGGUGAAAUGCGCAGAUAUCAGGAGGAACACCAAUGGCGAAGGCAGCUCGCUGGGACGGUACUGACGCUGAGGAGCGAAAGCGUGGGGAGCAAACAGG